rnacentral:rRNA from 1 species
CGCGUAGGCGGCCUGAUAAGUCGGGGGUGAAAUUCUGCGGCUUAACCGCAGAACGGCCUUCGAGACUGUCGGGCUGGAGCACGGUAGAGGCUGGUGGAAUUCCCGGUGUAGCGGUGGAAUGCGUAGAGAUCGGGAAGAACAUCGGUGGCGAAGGCGGCCAGCUGGGCCGUUGCUGACGCUGAGGCGCGACAGCGUGGGAGCAAACA